UUCCAUUGUUUUUAUCACAAUAUACUCUGGUAUUCCACGUGUACAGUUUGAAGUGGUAAAUUGGUCAAUUGUGAACUUUAAGCUUACAGUUUAUUGUUUUUUCAUAGAGUGCCAACAACGAUCGGACAACGCCAGUCAGCCACACCUCUCUCUUAUUGCCUACCCCCUCAGAUUCACAUUACUCGCUCACUAAAACCACUGGAAAAAGGAGAGAGAAGAAUGACAAAGAAGGAGCAACUGUUGAAGGAACAUGAAUAUUUGCACGGAAAGGAGGUCUCUCGGUCGGACUUUCCUCCUAAUUUUCUUUUUGGAGUUGCUACUUCUGCCUAUCAGAUAUGUGCGUAUACUUGGUGCUUUUUAUUUGUCUCACUGGGAAUGAUGUUGAUGUGUACCGGUACCUUGAGCCUUUGUACAAUGGCUAUCGAAAAUUGAGGCAAAAACUACCUGAUGGAAGUAAGUUGUUGAUGAAUGGACGAUGGUAAAUUCAUUUUUUCAAUAAUGAUGGUAUAAGUUCCAUUAAAUGUAA